UUUGCAUCUGUGGUCCAGAAGAAGGGAUUUGCCCAGAGCUGUACAGUGAGUUCGUGCUCAUCCAGCUCCCUCUUAGACAGUGCCAUUUUCCCAAAUAAGGAGAAUGACAGCUCAAAUGGGAUUCAACACUACAUCUCACAAAGUCAGCCCCUGAGACGGAGCCCGAACGUUACACCGGAACCGGAAACCUCCCGACUGCCCUAUGGCCUGCCGUCACUACAGACAUGGCCACCUCCAUGCUGCGGUCCUCUGACAUGUGACUCAUCAUACGUUUUUAGAAGGAAGCUACUGCACCCAAGGAUUGACUACUUAGUUCCAGAAAGAGCAAGUGAAAUGAUCCAACUGCUUCCACCAAGAGUUUGCUUACCCCUGAAUAAAACGUUUAAGAAAUGAAAUUAGUGUCAGUAUUUAAAUACAAGAUUUUAUAUAAAAAUUAGGUGCCUUUGUCACUUUUUCCCUCGCUGAGACACAAUACCGGAUAGCCACAAUUUAAAGAAAAACAGAUUAUUUUGGGUCAGUUUGUAG
rnacentral:lncRNA from 1 species